UGGGGAAUUUUGGACAAUGGGGGCAACCCUGAUCCAGCAAUGCCGCGUGAGUGAAGAAGGCCUUCGGGUUGUAAAGCUCUUUUGUCAGGAACGAAACGGUGAGGCUUAAUACGCCUUACUAAUGACGGUACCUGAAGAAUAAGCACCGGCUAACUACGUGCCAGCAGCCGCGGUAAUACGUAGGGUGCAAGCGUUAAUCGGAAUUACUGGGCGUAAAGCGUGCGCAGGCGGUUGUGCAAGACAGAUGUGAAAUCCCCGGGCUCAACCUGGGAAUUGCAUUUGUGACUGCACGGCUAGAGUGUGUCAGAGGGGGGUAGAAUUCCACGUGUAGCAGUGAAAUGCGUAGAUAUGUGGAGGAAUACCGAUGGCGAAGGCAGCCCCCUGGGAUAACACUGACGCUCAUGCACGAAAGCGUGGGGAGCAAACAGG
rnacentral:rRNA from 1 species